AUGAACGCUGGCGGCGUGCCUCAUACAUGCAAGUCGAGCGAACAGACGAGGAGCUUGCUCCUCUGACGUUAGCGGCGGACGGGUGAGUAACACGUGGAUAACCUACCUAUAAGACUGGGAUAACUUCGGGAAACCGGAGCUAAUACCGGAUAAUAUAUUGAACCGCAUGGUUCAAUAGUGAAAGACGGUUUUGCUGUCACUUAUAGAUGGAUCCGCGCCGCAUUAGCUAGUUGGUAAGGUAACGGCUUACCAAGGCAACGAUGCGUAGCCGACCUGAGAGGGUGAUCGGCCACACUGGAACUGAGACACGGUCCUGACUCCUACGGGAGGCAGCAGUAGGGAAUCUUCCGCAAUGGGCGAAAGCCUGACGGAGCAACGCCGCGUGAGUGAUGAAGGUCUUCGGAUCGUAAAACUCUGUUAUUAGGGAAGAACAAAUGUGUAAGUAACUAUGCACGUCUUGACGGUACCUAAUCAGAAAGCCACGGCUAACUACGUG
rnacentral:rRNA from 1 species